UACAGAGGUCCCGAGCGUUGUUCGGAUUCACUGGGCGUAAAGGGUGCGCAGGUGGCUGUGUAAGUUUGAUGUGAAAUCUCCGGGCUCAACCCGGAAAUGGCAUUGAAUACUAUGCAGCUUGAGGGUUGGAGGGGGGACUGGAAUUCUCGGUGUAGCAGUGAAAUGCGUAGAUAUCGAGAGGAACACCGGUGGCGAAGGCGAGUCCCUGGACAACACCUGACACUGAGGCACGAAAGCUAGGGGAGCAAACAGG
rnacentral:misc_RNA from 1 species